rnacentral:lncRNA from 1 species
CAGUGCCGUCUCUUGGCUAUGGCAAUAUGGGCAUUUGCCAUAGGUCCAUAGGUCCACAAAUUUUUUGGUGUUUUAAAGUCUAUUUUAAUCUGAUAAUUAACAAAAAAAACCCAUAAUUAAGUAAACAUAAUUUAUAAAAAGGUCCAUAUUUUUUGUUUCUAUUUGUUUCAAGUCUUAGAACUUGUAUUAGCUCAAGUUAAAUGAAAUGGAAUGAAG